rnacentral:rRNA from 1 species
UGGAAGUUAAAAAUCGUAACAAGGUCUCCGUUGGUGAACCAGCGGAGGGAUCAUUACCGAGUUUACAACUCCCAAACCCCUGUGAACAUACCACUUGUUGCCUCGGCGGAUCAGCCCGCUCCCGGUAAAACGGGACGGCCCGCCAGAGGACCCCUAAACUCUGUUUCUAUAUGUAACUUCUGAGUAAAACCAUAAAUAAAUCAAAACUUUCAACAACGGAUCUCUUGGUUCUGGCAUCGAUGAAGAACGCAGCAAAAUGCGAUAAGUAAUGUGAAUUGCAGAAUUCAGUGAAUCAUCGAAUCUUUGAACGCACAUUGCGCCCGCCAGUAUUCUGGCGGGCAUGCCUGUUCGAGCGUCAUUUCAACCCUCAAGCACAGCUUGGUGUUGGGACUCGCGUUAAUUCGCGUUCCCCAAAUUGAUUGGCGGUCACGUCGAGCUUCCAUAGCGUAGUAGUAAAACCCUCGUUACUGGUAAUCGUCGCGGCCACGCCGUUAAACCCCAACUUCUGAAUGUUGACCUCGGAUCAGGAGAAUUA